CUCUGGGGACCUGCUGAAGUGAUGUUUUUUUCUGCUUGGGUACCUCUGUGAGAUGAUCUGAUGCAGACCGUUGUUAUUUCUCUGUCUGGCUGUCAGUUUGUGGAAGGAUGUGACCGUGAACCUGAAACUGAAGUACAUUGAUGCUGCGACGGAAGCCAAACACAGGCUGGAGGAGAAACNGAGAGCGGAGGCCAGAGAAAGGAAGGAGAAGGAAAUGCAAUGGGAAACGAGACUGUUUCAUGAGGACGGUGAAUGCUGGGUCUAUGACAAGCCUCUUCUGAAGCGACUAGCAUCGCAGCGGCACUGAGGCCGUUUCCAAAACAGCAGAGUCUAGAAAACAACUCUCUUGCAAACCACUUUUCUUAUUCAGCCUUGGAAUGACUGACGAAUGAACCCUUCCAGCUUUGCAUUUUGAAACUUUGAACGAAUGAUAAGAAGAAAACACAAACUUAAUCUAUACAAACAAUAAAAACCUCCCUGCUCACUAGUUCAACACUUCCACCUCUCUAUCACACUUUGAGGAAGGAAACACCACAAACACACCGAAGACGUGAUCAGAAGCCCUUCAGCAUCACAAAUCAAACAAGCGCUCUCGUCUCGGCAAAAGAAGAACGAUCCCAGUGGACGCCUCUCUCUCUUUCUCCCACUCCAGAGGGGUUGAGGUGUUUUUAUCGAACAAAACUACAGCGUUCUGUAUCUCAGGGAAGCAGCGCACUGAGGAUUGAAGGCUGUAUCUUAAUGUUCGAAAAGCCUUAACGGUGGAACCACAAAAGAAAAUGAGAACUUGGGUUCACAUACUGCUAGCUACAGCUAUUUAUAUAUAUAGAAGAUAUGAUAUAUUCUUGUUUUCCUUUUAUCUUCUUUCUCUAGGGCAAUAGUAACUGUUUGAAUAUACGUACUUGACGGCAGCCAUUCCCUUUAUGUUCCACUCCAUCAUCAGCCUUUAAUGCUACAAAAGCCACAAUAAGAAAAUUUACAAUUUACAUUGCGGGGCUGAAAUUUGAGACAACUUUGCCAUGGUGGUUGUAAUCCAUUCCAAUUCUGUUUUGUUUAGUUUUUUUGGGAAUGAUUUGAUAUGCUCUAAAGCCUCGGGGAGGCUGUUUUUUUAAUAGAAUGCUGCUUGAGUGUCCACAUAAUUUAUCAACUUGGUAUAAAGUUGGACUGUCCAGUAGGAAAUCGUAACGGUGCACAAUAAAACCAUUUGCCAAGUCUGUGCUUAUCCCGCUGAGGGCAUGCAACGUUCUCACAAAUUGCCCUGAAAUCUCUCUUUCUGUGAAAUGUCACAUUUUAAUCCAAAUAAAUAUACAUUUCAUAUAGUCAUGCAUCAGAAAGAUUUGAUUCUCUUCUUGAAGGUAAAAGUAACAGUCUGUACAUGCAUGGAGUCGCUCAGGUCAGUGUUUUCACCUGGAAUGACAUCUAUACAUUGUGUAACAUCAACAAGCAAAAUCAAAUUGUAUUAUCCUUUUUUUUCUGAGAUGCAAUUAGAGCAAAACUGGCAAAACAUUAUUACUGCUAUAGCUUAAAGAAAGCCACUUGCUCUUCAUAUACUGUAAUGAAUUGGAGGCCUUAUGAAGUAAAGUUUACUUUCGCCUAGUAUUGCUUUUCAGAAGCAAACCCAAACAAUUUUUUCUUUGCCUGUCAACAAUUGAUUGUACCAGAUUUCCAUGUAUCAAAAUAUAAUAUUAAAUCUCAGUGAGACCAA